rnacentral:rRNA from 1 species
ACCAUAGCGUUUUGGACCCACCUGAAUCCAUUCCGAACUCAGAAGUGAAACGAAAUAGCGUCGAUGGUAGUGUGGGGUUUCCCCAUGUGAGAGUAGAACAUCGCCAGGC